AGAGUUUGAUCCUGGCUCAGGACGAACGCUGGCGGCGUGCCUAACACAUGCAAGUCGAGCGAGUGGAGUUCUUCGGAACAAAGCUAGCGGCGGACGGGUGAGUAACACGUGGGCAACCUGCCUCAUAGAGGGGAAUAGCCUUCCGAAAGGGAGAUUAAUACCACAUAAGAUUGUAGCUUCGCAUGAAGUAGCAAUUAAAGGAGCAAUCCGCUAUGAGAUGGGCCCGCGGCGCAUUAGCUAGUUGGUGAGGUAACGGCUCACCAAGGCGACGAUGCGUAGCCGACCUGAGAGGGUGAUCGGCCACAUUGGGACUGAGACACGGCCCAGACUCCUACGGGAGGCGGCAGUGGGGAAUAUUGCACAAUGGGGGAAACCCUGAUGCAGCAACGCCGCGUGAGUGAUGACGGCCUUCGGGUUGUAAAGCUCUGUCUUCAGGGACGAUAAUGACGGUACCUGAGGAGGAAGCCACGGCUAACUACGUG
rnacentral:rRNA from 1 species